GGGUUAGUAGGUUGGUCAUGCCUCUGGAAUGUACUGGUCUCACUGAUUCCUCCUUCCUGAUACACCCUAAUGCCAUUAAUUUGGUGUUUUGGGGAAUUUGGACUGUUACUUUGAAAAAAUUAGAGUGUUUAAAGCAAGCUAACGCUUGAAUACAUUAGCAUGGAAUAAUGAAAUAGGACGUUCGAUCCUAUUUUGUUGGUUUCUAGGAUUGACGUA
rnacentral:rRNA from 1 species